rnacentral:rRNA from 1 species
GAUGAACGCUGGCGGCGUGCCUAAUACAUGCAAGUCGAACGGACAGACCCGGCGCUUGCUCGUCUGACGUUAGCGGCGGGCGGGUGAGUAACACGUGGAUCACCUCCCUAUCAGACUGGUAUAACUUCGGGAAACCGGCGCUAAUACCGGAUAAUCUAUUGCACCACAUGGUUCGAUAGUGAAAGACGGUUUUGCUGUCUCUAAUCGCUGGUUCCGCGCCGCUUUAGCUAGUUGGUGAGGUAACGGCUUACCACGGCUACGAUGCGUAGCCGACCUGAUAGAGGGGUCGGCGACCUGGGAAGUGAGACAGGCUCCAGACGCCUACGAGAGGCAGCAGUCGGGAACCUGACGCAAUGGGCGAAAGCCUGACGGAGCAACGCGGCGUGAGUGAUGAAGGUCUCGGGAGCGUAAAAAUCUGUUACGAGUUGAGAACAAAUUUGGAAUUAAAUAUGCACGUCUUGACGGUACUUAAUCAAAAAGCCACGGCUAACUACGUG